rnacentral:rRNA from 1 species
AACGAACGCUGGCGGCAGGCCUAACACAUGCAAGUCGAACGCCCUGUUUACAGGGAGUGGCAGACGGGUGAGUAACGCGUGGGAACCUACCUAGUGGUACGGAACAACACAGAGAAAUUUGUGCUAAUACCGAAUAAGCCCUUUUUUAGGGGAAAGAUUUAUCGCCAUUGGAUGGGCCCGCGUUUGAUUAGCUAGUUGGUGAGGUAAUGGCUCACCAAGGCGACGAUCAAUAGCUGGUCUGAGAGGAUGAUCAGCCACACUGGGACUGAGACACGGCCCAG